rnacentral:rRNA from 1 species
UACGAGGGGGGCAAGCGUUGUUCGGAAUUAUUGGGCGUAAAGGGCGCGUAGGCGGUGCGGUAAGUCUGAUGUGAAAUCUCCGGGCUCAACUCGGAGUCUGCAUCAGAAACUGCCGUGCUUGAGUGUGGGAGAGGUGAGUGGAAUUCCCGGUGUAGCGGUGAAAUGCGUAGAGAUCGGGAGGAACACCAGUGGCGAAGGCGGCUACCUGGACCAGCACUGACACUGAGGCACGAAAGCGUGGGGAGCAAACAGG